rnacentral:lncRNA from 1 species
AUGAUAUACAUAAAAUCAAAGGACAAGGCAAUGUAUCUUGUAAUUUACCAAAGGAAGUCUCUUCAAGUUCAGGAAGAAUGAGUCAAUGUAAUAUUUCUGGUGGCCGAGCAUGGCGUUUUCUACAUGAACCUCAUGAGCUGAAGGAAAUUUUUUCCCAUAAGUUCUGUGUAACCACUCAGCUCCCAUUCUUAUCACAUCAUCUUCACAGUCAACAGCCAUCUUAAGCUUUGGAGGCUUUGUUGAAUUUGUCAGUAGAGGUGCACUUGUGGAAGUUGAAAGCAAGUAACCCUCUUGGGAAGUCAAAUACAUGUGGCCACUGUGUAACUCAACUAGUUCUUUCAUUAGGUGUCCUACACUAUAAAGUGCAGUUGUGACACCCACAACUGCCAUAAUACUUUUAUUAGAAGAGUCCCAAACUGGCAAUGCUGCUGAAAGCAAUGGUGAAUCAGUAAACUUGCUCACUGCAACAUGCCAUGAAGCUACACCAUUCUUGUAAUUGAUAGUUAUUGAGUUGAGAGCUUUCCGGCUAGAAAAAAGCGCCCAUGUUACAGCCCUCAUGAUUACACCUACCUGCACAAAGUAUAAGUCAUAAUUUGCAGACACCCAAAAGUACAGCAGGAUAUCUAGUUACUUAAAACAGAAAUGAAUUAGAGGCAUUUAUAAGUUUAAAAAGUAAUGAUAUACAUAAAAUCAAAGGACAAGGCAAUGUAUCUUGUAAUUUACCAAAGGAAGUCUCUUCAAGUUCAGGAAGAAUGAGUCAAUGUAAUAUUUCUGGUGGCCGAGCAUGGCGUUUUCUACAUGAACCUCAUGAGCUGAAGGAAAUUUUUUCCCAUAAGUUCUGUGUAACCACUCAGCUCCCAUUCUUAUCACAUCAUCUUCACAGUCAACAGCCAUCUUAAGCUUUGGAGGCUUUGUUGAAUUUGUCAGUAGAGGUGCACUUGUGGAAGUUGAAAGCAAGUAACCCUCUUGGGAAGUCAAAUACAUGUGGCCACUGUGUAACUCAACUAGUUCUUUCAUUAGGUGUCCUACACUAUAAAGUGCAGUUGUGACACCCACAACUGCCAUA